CCUCCGGCGGGUGGCGUGAGCCCUUCUGAAAAAAAUCCCCUCUCCGAGCCCAGCCUGAAGUGAAGACCUCCCUGGGCUGCAAGAAGUCCUCUUCUUGCGUCUCGUCUGUGGCGAACCGGAUUCUCUGCUUCUGGCCCCGAGCAGUGCCCCCCCCGGGGUUCCUUGCACGUUGCUGGCCUAAAAAAGGGCGGAGGGACAAUCAGCUUGAAGAAGAUACGAGCUGGAGGUGUAAAAGGAACCAACAAAAGCUAAACUACAGUUUGCACUCUUCAUCAGAGAGAGAGAGAGAGAGGAAUAAUGGAAUAUUCCUUGAACAAAUAGACAGAAAAAGGACAAGGCUGAAAAGACAUGAAAAAAGAAUCACCUGGCAGUUUCUCCUGAUGUUAGG